rnacentral:lncRNA from 1 species
CUGGGGUCCUCGGUUCCUCGGGUCUGAACCUACACAGGUGGAAGCAAAUGAGGGACCAAACAUACUUGAACAUAACUCUAAAAUACUCCCCAAAAACCCCCUGAAACAUCAUGAAAACAUCACAUAAAAACAUGUAAGAAAUGGCUGAACAGGGCACUUUCGGCGGCAGGUUCGGCGGCCGAAAGUCCCUCCAGAGCCGAAAGUCAGGCAGGUUCGGCGGCACCUUCGGCGGCCGAACCUCCAAGACAGAUCCGAAAGUCUUCCUUCGGGGGCAAGCUUCGGCAGCCGAAUGCUGCCUCCACAAGGGGGUUCGGCGGCCGAAACUCCCUUCGGCGGCCGAACCUGGUUUCUGCCAGAAGGGCAGAAACUUGGUUCACAUGAACCCCUUGCCUCCCAAAACCUCAAAUCAUGCAUAAAUCCCAACCAAAACAUGCAUACAAGUUCCUAGGGGUCUCAAACAGUCAAAUACCCCAACUACAACACUUCAAACACACACAAUCAACACACAUUGCUCAAAACCUUAAUAUUAACCCAUAACUCAACAUAUAACCUAACAUGCCUUUCUACCCAUAGAUCUUGCAUAAAACUUAUUUAAAACACAUAAGGAGCUUAAGAUCGGCUCUUACCUCUUGAAGAUCGAGAGGGAGACGACCUAAACUUGGAGAUGCACGAAAAUGAGCUCUUGAGUUCCCAAAGCUCCAAAACUUGGUUUAAAUGCUCAAAACUUGCAAUGUGAGUUUAAAACUCAAGAAAAAUGGAAGAGAUUUGGAGGAAGAACACAAGAGUUGCAAAGGGAAGGUCGGAAGCUUGCUGUGGCCGAAAAUGGGAGAAAACUCACCCAUUUCGGCCAAGUGCCCCUUUUAUAGGUGGCUGGCCAGGCCACGUUCG